rnacentral:rRNA from 1 species
UACAGAGGUGGCAAGCGUUGUUCGGAAUUACUGGGCGUAAAGGGCGCGUAGGCGGCCAUCUAAGUCAGACGUGAAAUCCCCCGGCUUAACCUGGGAACUGCGUCUGAUACUGGAAGGCUCGAGUUUGGGAGAGGGAUGUGGAAUUCCAGGUGUAGCGGUGAAAUGCGUAGAUAUCUGGAGGAACACCGGUGGCGAAGGCGGCAUCCUGGACCGGCAUUGACGCUGAGGCGCGAAAGCCAGGGGAGCAAACGGG